GCUGAAAACUUUGAGUGUCAGGCCGUGUUUGAAGUGGGGAGUCAUGCCUCAAAUAUAAAUCUGGUGUCCUUAGUGAAAGUUGAAGCAAAACAUUGGAAAUUUGAGUUGUUCUUCAUAAUGCCUAUUAAGCUCACGAGAUCUUGCGAAAGAAAUGGGAGAAGGUGUGUAGAGAAAAUAAAAGGCGGGGAGGGGACUGGGUAUAUAAAAUUUGAGAGCUUUCAACUUAGCUUUGGUUUGGUACUGGCUCUUGAGGUUGCAUGUAGAAAAACAAACUCAGUUUUUGAAAACCAGAAUUUCAUGUAUAUGGACCCAACAUAUUAUUCAAACAAGUUUAUUUGAUAGUAAUAUAUGAGACAAUUAUUGCCCUUUUGUAAUUUGUACAAGUAAAGUGUAAACUUUGAAUUUUGUUUGAAAUCGUGAUUUCCGUUUU